GUGCUCAACAUCAAAUCUUGGGCAGUACACGUCCCAAAAUGAGAAGCUGACCAAGAUUAGCGUGGUCCCUGCACAAGGAUGACAUGCAAAUCCGUGAAGGGUACCAUAUAAAA
rnacentral:snRNA from 1 species